UCGUUGGAAGAACCAACCGGGAUUGCCUCAGUAACGGCGAGUGAAGCGGCAAGAGCUCAAAUUUGAAAUCUGGCCCCCUCGGGGUCCGAGUUGUAAUUUGGAGAGGAUGCUUCGGGUGCGGUCCCCGUCUAAGUGCCCUGGAACGGGCCGUCAUAGAGGGUGAGAAUCCCGUCUGGGAUGGGCGGCCGCGCCCGUGUGAAGCUCCUUCGACGAGUCGAGUUGUUUGGGAAUGCAGCUCUAAGCGGGUGGUAAAUUUCAUCUAAAGCUAAAUACUGGCCGGAGACCGAUAGCGCACAAGUAGAGUGAUCGAAAGAUGAAAAGCACUUUGAAAAGAGAGUUAAACAGCACGUGAAAUUGUUGAAAGGGAAGCGUUGGCCCCCAGACGCGCCCAGGGGGGUUCAGCCGGCACGUGUGCCGGUGCACUCCCCCCUGGGUGGGCCAGCAUCGGUUUGGGCGGUCGCUGAAAGGCCCCGGGAAUGUAGCACCCUCCGGGGUGCCUUAUAGCCCGGGGUGUCAUGCGGCCCGCCUGGACCGAGGCCCGCGCUUCGGCGAGGAUGCUGGCGUAAUGGUGGUCAACGGCCCGUCUUGAAACACGGACCAAGGAGUCUAACAUCUAUGCGAGUGUUCGGGUGUCAAACCCGUCCGCGCAGUGAAAGCGAACGCAGGUGGGAACCCCUCCCGGGGCGCACCAUCGACCGAUCCUGAUGUCUUCGGAUGGAUUUGAGUAAGAGCAUAGCUGUUGGGACCCGAAAGAUGGUGAACUAUGCCUGAAUAGGGCGAAGCCAGAGGAAACUCUGGUGGAGGCUCGCAGCGGUUCUGACGUGCAAAUCGAUCGUCAAAUUUGGGUAUAGGGGCGAAAGACUAAUCGACCAUCUGGUAGCUGGUUCCUGCCGAAUUCCGCGGCAGGAUGAGCUACCG
rnacentral:rRNA from 1 species